GGGAGGCAGCAGUGGGGAAUCUUGGACAAUGGGGGAAACCCUGAUCCAGCCAUGCCGCGUGAGUGAUGAAGGCCCUAGGGUUGUAAAACUCUUUCGGCGGGGACGAUAAUGACGGUACCCGCAGAAGAAGCUCCGGCUAACUUCGUGCCAGCAGCCGCGGUAAUACGAAGGGGGCUAGCGUUGUUCGGAAUUACUGGGCGUAAAGCGCGCGCAGGCGGUCCUUCAAGUCAGAGGUGAAAGCCCAGAGCUCAACUCUGGAAUGGCCUUUGAGACUAGAGGACUUGGGUACGGGAGAGGUGAGUGGAAUUCCGAGUGUAGAGGUGAAAUUCGUAGAUAUUCGGAAGAACACCAGUGGCGAAGGCGGCUCACUGGCCCGUUACCGACGCUCAGGCGCGACAGCGUGGGGAGCAAACAGGAUUAGAUACCCGCGU
rnacentral:rRNA from 1 species